AUUGAACGCUGGCGGCAAGCCUAACACAUGCAAGUCGAGCGAGUGGCGGACGGGUGAGUAAUGUCUGGGAAACUGCCUGAUGGAGGGGGAUAACUACUGGAAACGGUAGCUAAUACCGCAUACCCUCGGAUGUGCAUAGAUGGGUAUAGCUAGGAUGUGGGGUAAAGGCUCACCUAGGCGACGAUCCCUAGCUGGUCUGAGAGGAUGACCAGCCAACCUGGAAUUGAGACACGGACCAGACUCCUACGGGAGGCAGCAGUGGGGAAUAUUGCACAAUGGGCGCAAGCCUGAUGCAGCCAUGCCGCGUGUAUGAAGAAGGCCCUCGGGUUGUAAAGUACUUUCAGCGGGGAGGCGUUACCCACAGAAGAAGCACCGGCUAACUCCGUGCCAGCCGCCGCGGUAAUAC
rnacentral:rRNA from 1 species